UACGAAGGGGGCUAGCGUUGUUCGGAAUUACUGGGCGUAAAGCGCACGUAGGCGGAUAUUUAAGUCAGGGGUGAAAUCCCGGGGCUCAACCCCGGAACUGCCUUCGAUACUGGCGAUCUCGAGUUCGGGAGAGGUGAGUGGAACUGCGAGUGUAGAGGUGAAAUUCGUAGAUAUUCGCAAGAACACCAGUGGCGAAGGCGGCUCACUGGCCCGAUACUGACGCUGAGGUGCGAAAGCGUGGGGAGCAAACAGG
rnacentral:rRNA from 1 species